rnacentral:rRNA from 1 species
AUUGAACGCUGGCGGCAGGCUUAACACAUGCAAGUCGAGCGGAGAUGAGGUGCUUGCACUUUAUCUUAGCGGCGGACGGGUGAGUAAUGCUUAGGAAUCUGCCUAUUAGUGGGGGACAACAUUCCGAAAGGAAUGCUAAUACCGCAUACGUCCUACGGGAGAAAGCAGGGGAUCUUCGGACCUUGCGCUAAUAGAUGAGCCUAAGUCGGAUUAGCUAGUUGGUGGGGUAAAGGCCUACCAAGGCGACGAUCUGUAGCGGGUCUGAGAGGAUGAUCCGCCAGACUGAGACUGGAACACGGCCCAGACACCUGCGGGAGGCAGCAGGGGGGAAAAUUGGACAAUGGGGGGAACCCUGAUCCAGCCAUGCCGCGUGUGUGAAGAAGGCCUUAUGGUUGUAAAGCACUUUAAGCGACGAGGAGGCUACUGAGACUAAUACUCUUGGAUAGUGGACGUUACUCGCAGAAUAAGCACCGGCUAACUCUGUGCCAGCCGCCGCCGUAACAC